CAGAGGUCCUAUAACCCAGUAGGACUGCUGGACCAGAGGUCCUAUAACCCAGUAGGACUGCUGGACCAGAGGUCCUAUAACCCAGUAGGACUGCUGGACCAGAGGUUCUAUAACCCAGUAGGACUGCUGGACCAGAGGUUCUAUAACCCAGUAGGACUGCUGGACCAGAGGUCCUAUAACCCAGUAGGACUGCUGGACCAGAGGUUCUAUAACCCAGUAGGACUGCUGGACCAGAGGUUCUAUAACCCAGUAGGACUGCUGGACCAGAGGUUCUAUAACCCAGUAGGACUGCUGGACCAGAGGUCCUAUAACCCAGUAGGACUGCUGGACCAGAGGUUCUAUAACCCAGUAGGACUGCUGGACCAGAGGUUCUAUAACCCAGUAGGACUGCUGGACCAGAGGUUCUGCUGUAACCCAGUAGGACCGCUGGUCCCAGAUUACCCUGUUACAGAUAGUUAUCAUGGGAAAUAGUGCGAAAAAUGAGCUCUGGUAGUGGUCUAUAA
ensembl:lncRNA